GGUCCAGUAGCUCAGCUGGAUAGAGCAACGGCCUUCUAAGCCGUGGGUCGGACGUUCGAGUCGUCUCUGGAUCA
rnacentral:tRNA from 1 species